AGGGGGCGCCGUAGGGUGACCUGCGGAGGGAUCAUUACACAAAUAUGAAGGCGGGCUGGAACCUCUCGGGGUUACAGCCUUGCUGAAUUAUUCACCCUUGUCUUUUGCGUACUUCUUGUUUCCUUGGUGGGUUCGCCCACCACUAGGACAAACAUAAACCUUUUGUAAUUGCAAUCAGCGUCAGUAACAAAUUAAUAAUUACAACUUUCAACAACGGAUCUCUUGGUUCUGGCAUCGAUGAAGAACGCAGCGAAAUGCGAUAAGUAGUGUGAAUUGCAGAAUUCAGUGAAUCAUCGAAUCUUUGAACGCACAUUGCGCCCUUUGGUAUUCCAAAGGGCAUGCCUGUUCGAGCGUCAUUUGUACCCUCAAGCUUUGCUUGGUGUUGGGCGUCUUGUCUCUAGCUUUGCUGGAGACUCGCCUUAAAGUAAUUGGCAGCCGGCCUACUGGUUUCGGAGCGCAGCACAAGUCGCACUCUCUAUCAGCAAAGGUCUAGCAUCCAUUAAGCCUUUUUUUCAACUUUUGACCUCGGAUCAGGUAGGGAUACCCGCUGAACUUA
rnacentral:rRNA from 1 species